CCAUGGCAAUUAAUCCCUUAGCUCAACUUGUUAUUUCCCUGUUUUCACAGGAACUCUUAUCACAAUGCUAGGCUCACACUGAUUUCUCGUCUGAACAGGCCUAGAAAUAAACAUGCUCGCCCUUACCCCAAUCUUAAUUAAAAAAAAAAAUCCCCGCUCUACAGAAGCAGCCACCAAAUAUUUCCUUACACAAGCACCACAUCUAUAAUUCUCAUGAUAGGUAUCCUUUCCAAUAACCUGUCCUCUGGACAAUGAACAAUAAACACUAUUAAUCAGUUUUCAUCCUUAAUAAUAAUAGUGGCCCUAGUAAUAAAACUAGGAAUAGCCCCCUUUCACUUCUGAGUCCCACAGUUAACCCAAGAAACCUCUCUAAUUUCUGGCAUACUUCUCCUCACAUGACAAAAACUAGCCCCUAUCUCGAUUAUGUUUCUAAUUUUCCCAUCAACAAACACGAACAUCCUCCUGUCUAUCACAAUCCUAUCCAUUAUAGUAAGCGGUUAAGAAGGGCUUAACCAAACAACUGCAUAAAAUCUUAGACUACUCUUCAAUCACUCACAUAGGUUGAAUAAUAGUACUAAUCUAUAACCCAAACAUUACCAUUCUAAACCUGAUUUUUUUUAACUUUUAACUUGCUUUAAUAAUUGGAUUCAAUUAAUAUCAGUAUUAUUCACUCAACCUUACAAGCACAACCCUGUCACUAUCUCACGACUGAAACAAAUUAACAUGGUUGACACCUGUAAUUCCACUAAUUCUAUCCCUAGGAGGUUUACCUCCAUUAACAGGGUUCCUGCCUAAAUGAAUCAUCAUCCAAGAAUUUACAAAAAACAAUAGCCUUAUUACCCCAACCAUUAUAGCUAUCAUAACCCUACUCAACCUGUACUUUUACAUAUGCCUAAUUUAUUCCAUCUCGGUGACGCUAUUCCCCACAUCUGGUAAUAUGAAAAUGACAAUUCAAAAACAAAACCCAUACUAUUCUUCCCACUACGUAUUAUUUCUUCUACCCUCCUCCUACCUAUGUCUCCAUUAAUACUAACUAUA
rnacentral:lncRNA from 1 species